rnacentral:rRNA from 1 species
UACGUAGGGGGCAAGCGUUGUCCGGAUUUAUUGGGCGUAAAGAGCGUGUAGGCGGCCAGUUAGGUCCGUUGUGAAAACUCGAGGCUCAACCUCGAGACGCCGAUGGAAACCAACUGGCUAGAGUCCGGAAGAGGAGAGUGGAAUUCCCGGUGUAGCGGUGAAAUGCGCAGAUAUCGGGGAAGAACACCCGUGGCUAAGGCGGCUCUCUAGUACGGUACUGACGCUGAGACGCGAAAGCGUGGGGAGCGAACAGG